rnacentral:rRNA from 1 species
UACGUAGGGGUCGAGCGUUGUCCGGAGUUACUGGGCGUAAAGCGUGUGCAGGCGGCUCAUUGCGCCCGGCGUGAAAGCCCCCGGCUCAACCGGGGAGGGUCGUCGGGGACGGGUGAGCUUGGAGGGUAUCAGGGGCUGGUGGAAUUCCCGGUGUAGUGGUGAAAUGCGUAGAGAUGUGGAGGAACACCGAUGGCGAAGGCAGCCCCCUGGGUCAAGAUUGACGCUCAUGCACGAAAGCGUGGGGAGCGAACAGG